rnacentral:rRNA from 1 species
GACGAACGCUGGCGGCGUGCUUAACACAUGCAAGUCGAACGGAAAGGCCCUGCUUUUGUGGGGUGCUCGAGUGGCGAACGGGUGAGUAACACGUGAGUAACCUGCCCUUGACUUUGGGAUAACUUCAGGAAACUGGGGCUAAUACCGGAUAGGAGCUCCUGCUGCAUGGUGGGGGUUGGAAAGUUUCGGCGGUUGGGGAUGGACUCGCGGCUUAUCAGCUUGUUGGUGGGGUAGUUGCUUACCAAGGCUUUGACGGGUAGCCGGCCUGAGAGGGUGACCGGCCACAUUGGGACUGAGAGACGGCCCAGACUCCUACGGGAGGCAGCAGUGGGGAAUAUUGCACAAUGGGCGGAAGCCUGAUGCAGCGACGCCGCGUGCGGGAUGACGGCCUUCGGGUUGUAAACCGCUUUCGCCUGUGACGAAGCGUGAGUGACGGUAAUGGGUAAAGAAGCACCGGCUAACUACGUG